ensembl:lncRNA
UGAGUGACCUCUGACAAAGUGAAUACAAAUAUAAUCCUGUAACUGAUAUAUUAAUUCAUCUUGGAUUAACAAUAACUGACCAGUUUAAAUAAAGUAUACCAAACACAAUCGUUAUACAUUCAGUGUAAAAACAAUAUGGUAAAAUAUAUGGUGAAAGAAUUGUAGGUCUGUAUAGGGCUAGGCGAUGUGGCCCUGAAUUUUAUAGCAUGAUUUACAUUUAUUUUUAAUUAUUUUAUUUUCCAGAUUUAAUAAAACAAGUUGGUUUGGAGCAUUUCAUCAAAUGAGGUAGUCUACUGGAAUGCUUUUCAGUUACCAGGUGUAUGAUACCACACAUUUUGGGUUCGAUCCAAUACCAAGUAAUACAGGGCCAGAAUCACCAAUAUCGAUAUUGAUACCAAUCCCGAUAAUUCUUAUUAAUAAAAGUGGCUUAAGUACUUUCAUGUAGGGGAGAGCUUCUUGUAAUAUCCAGAGCUCUUGGGGAAUGUCUAUAGUCUAUGACAGGUUUGACGUAUAUUAUUUUAAAUUCCAUAUUUAAGAUUUCAAUGGGCUGAAUAUGUCUGAAUAUAGACAUACAUUUCACAUGAUGCUCCUCUUUCGUUCAGUCAUGGCCCAUGGCAUUCAUGCAUGCAAUUGGGUUGGAUUGGUGGUCGGCACCAGUAGACAGGGUGCUGUGGUGUGCUUUGCGUGCGUGAUGUGUAUGUUUGUUGUUUGAGCGCACGGUCACAAGUAACAGCAGUGGAGCUAGAGAAGCACUUAAUUAAGAUGUGUUCACGACAACGGAACAUUGUUUGCACAGUGGCAGUUCUACUCUUUGAUGAAAUGGGUACAACUUAGAAGAGGAAAACUGAAACUGGUAUCGAUCCUACUGACGCUAGAAUUUAGUUUUCUGCUUAGCGGGACGAUCAUUUGGUUUUCAACAGGACAACGACCCAAACACACCUCCAGACUAUGUCCAAAAAGGAGAAUGAUGGAGUGCUGCAUCAAAUGACCUUGCCUCAUCAAUCACCGACCUCAACCCAAUUGAGGUGGUUUGGGAUGAGUUGGGCAGCAAAAUGAAGGAAAACCAGCCAACAAGUGCUCAGCAUAUGUGGCAAUUCAUUGUAGACAGUUGGAAAAGCAUUCCAGGUGACUACCUAAUGAAGCUGGUUGAGAGAAUGCCAAGAGUGUACAAAGCUGUCUUCAAGGCAAAGGGUGGCUACUUUGAAUAAUCUAAAAUAUAAAUGUAUUUUGACUGGUUUAUCACUUUUUUGGUUACUACAUGAUUCCAUAUGUUAUUUCGUAAUUUUGAUAGAUAUUCCACAUUGUAGAAUAACAGUUGGCUAUAUAUCAUUGUAUGUGUUCAUAGGUCCUGUGAUUCCAGAGUGCGGUAAAUAAAUCACUGCUUGAAUUUUGGUCAUGGCAUCACUCUUAGGCUGCUUGGUAGUUAACAUUUAAUUUAGAUGAUUUUGGGGAAAGCAUUUUUAUCUAACAGAACCUAUUACAUAAGCACAAUUGCUAUUGGCUGCUGAAAGUUAUGGGCAAAAGCGGGGUGUGACAAAAUCAAAAUGAGUGACCGAUCUCCAAAUAACCUUGCAUCAAAGACUGACCCCCCCCCCCCCCCAUUACAUCUUCAAAACGCAGAUUCAGGAGAUUCCGAAAUACUGAUGCAUUUUGUUCAUGUCCUAAAAUUCAACAUUUACUUGAAGUGCUACACAUGCUACCAGCAAAUGUUAUGGAGCCGCUAAACAUGAAACUACUAACAGCGUUUUUCUUCCUAUGACAACUUUUAAGAAAAACGUGGUUACGGAAUCAAUAUACAAUUUGAUAAUGAAUGAUAUUUUAUCGCCUAGCCCUAUCUUUUAACAAUGUGGCCCGCAGAAGUUCAGCAACAUAGCAUGAUUAAAACUUAAAGGCAAUGUUCAUGCAUUAGCAGAAGUGUGUUGAUCAUUAACGCCGUGCGUUAGCUCAAUGAAAAUCACCUUUACAUUUUGAGCACGCAAUGUGCAAUGCUCCAAUAACCAAGAUCGAGUCGGGCCCUUUAAAUUAUAUGAACGUGAAAUACUGUAAACCACAAACGAUUCAAUAAUAUUCAACACCACACCUUGUUCUGGAUAACGUGCAUGCGUUGAGUUACACAACAGACCUGGAUUAGGGCUCUGCUUGCACAGCACGGACAGAAUCGAAUACUCAGUCAUCACCGAUUGGAAAUGUACUGCAUGAAUACGGUCGGUUGGAAAAAAAAGUGUGGAAUAGUUAAGACUCUGGGGUCGGUGGGGAUCACAGUUCAGUCUUGUUGACUGAAACCACAGUUACGGUGAGCUACCAGGCUAUUUGUGGUCAGUUUGUUUUGUCGUUUUGUUUACGUAUCUAAAGAGAUUACUUGAGGACUGGAGCAGAUAUGUUUCAGAGCCCUUGAUAUCCAUUUGAGGAUAGUAAAUAAUUCACAAUGAUCGCCAGCCUAUUCGUCUCAUGCUACAAUUCUGCAGGCGGAUGGUUGGCUUAAGGGCUGUUUUCUGUUCUGCCCUAGAUAAAGACAGCUUGAUCCAUUGGUGCUCCCGAGUAACCCUCAUACCGUCCAAGCAGAGCCGGCAUCAGAAGUGGAAGCGCUUGUUUUCUAUUCUUUGAUUCAAUAUUCAGAAAUAUAAUGCAAUCACAUAGGUAUAAGUACAGAGGAGAUUUGUGACUGACAGCUGGGGUAGAGGAAGUUUGGGGGGGGGGUAGUUUUGGGGGCGGUUCAACCACACAGAUUGAGUGACAAAUACAAUAACUCGAAUAUCAACUGUGAUUCUUCAAAUAGAGUUUGGAGAAGAAAAGAGAAAACAACGAAGCAUGCCAAAAGUGUCCUUGCAAAUAUUUUAAGUGAUUGGACGAAAAUAAAUAAAAAUAGGUAGUUGCAGUGAAAAAUCGCAGAAUAAUAUCGAAAUCUGGUUUUUCUGCCUCUCAAAGAUCUAAUCCAACUGGAUCUGGUACACAAUAAUACCAACAGAGGAACCUAUUAAUCAGUGCUUAAAGGGAUGGAAAAGAUUUUGACAAUGAAGCCCUUCACUAUAUUCCCAGUAUUCAGGCGAACUUGUAAAUACAGUUUCUAUCAUUCUGAAUCCAGUAUGAAGGAAGUUAGAGGUAGUUUUGCAAAAAAAACUAAAACAAAAUAUAGUAUAGAUGCUAUGGGAUGGUCUUGCAGACAGAUUAAGUCUAGUAUAGGACCAAAAAAAUCUAAGUCAACUCCAUUGAGGUUGACAUUUCCCCCAGACUGCCUUUAUUGGUCUGUAAAACCAUCCCUAUACGUCUACAGGAACAGCUAGCAUACCAGCUGUUCCCAUUGACUUCCAUUCAUUGCGUAUAUGGUAGUUAGCAAUUGCAUACACGCUAGAUUGCAACUUCCUUCAAACUUCAGAGACAUAAAAAUAGUAUCAAAAAGUAAAUCUGACUUAGAGUAUAAGGGCCUUAUGGUCAAAAUCCAAAACUGUCCCUUUAAAUUGGGCACGUGUGUUUCGUUUAAACCCUGAUUAUGUCCUCAAACCUUCAAUGACUGUUAGCUCAGGAUAAAGUGCUUUUCUAUCUCAGCCAUCACAGAUGAGAUGAACACAACAGAAUUGAUCUAAACAUUCUGAUGAGCAGACCACUGACUGUUAGUUGUCAAUGCAAUAAUGAAAAACUACAAUGCAAUACAACCAACAAAAAAAAUGACUGCAGGUAAAAACAAUAUUGCACAUAAUCUUACAAAAAGCUAAGACUUUGUCCAUAGUGAUAAAACAGUUUAUGACAAGGGAACACAUCAGUGUUUUUUACUGCAGUGUAGUAUACAAAGCAAAAGGAAAAUCUCUAAGGCCCAUCCAUUCUACUAAGACCUCCUAGUACAUUACACAACAUUAAUUUAGCAAGAUUUGAAAAUAAAGUGAAAUACUUUUUUUGUUUGUUUUUGCAAAAAAACUUGUUUUCAUUGACUUUAACUAUGUAACCACAAGGCGAGCGUUCUCAGGUUCUCUUGUCUGUGACCGAAGUGACAUGAUUUAGCUUCCAUUGAAAAGUGGUUUGUAGGAAUUUAGAAGGACAUUUUCCGAUUGACAUCUACAGCAUUUACUGGGAAUGGUAAACAUUAGAAAGAGGCUAUAGAAAGAGGAAAGGCCCAGAACCAGCCUUCGGGUUGAACCUAGGCCCUAGCGUUGAUGGACUCUCACCUUCCAAACCACUUGCCUUGUACACACAUUUAGGUAACCAUACCAUGUACCACUGUAACAAAUAUUCCCACAGAAGACCAUGCAAAUGUUAAUUAUAAACCACAUUGACCAUUCAAACAAAAUCAUUCCCACAAUUCCUUUUUUUUUUUUAAACCAUAUCGGAGACCCUUUUUUUUUUUUCAUGAAAAGAAUUGAAGGCUCAGUCAAUGCCAGUGGGUUGUUUCAUGAACCGAGUGCCUUUUGCGUCUAUUUGACCGGAAAUGUUCAAGAAAGACAAUCGGAACAGCCACAUACUCUACGCAUUUAGAAAAGUUGACAUGGGUGUCUUUUCGCAAAAUUAUCAAAUUGUAUAAUAACAAAAUUAUAGCUCAUAUUAUUGGAGAUUGUAUGGUUAUAAUAAAAUGUUGUCUGUUAGUAAAAACUAGCAGUAGUUAAUGUAUGGGCUACUGAUCUACAGGACUGUUACAUUACACUCAACAUUUCUCUCAAGUUGUAAAACAAACAUUUUAUCUUUGCUUUCAGUCCAAACAAACCCUUUCUUGCAGUGCUGUUGUCUAUUAUUCACAAUAAAAUUGUCAAACUUGUAGUUGGGUUUCUUUAGAAUAAAUGUAUAUAUAAGAGGAUGGAAUAAUCAAGAGUGCCAUUUGAGAAAAGAGAGGAACUUCUUUCUUUUUCUUUUUUUUUCUUUUUUUUUUUACAAAUUGCACCCUAAUGGUUUAGGUAUUGCCUCAAGAUACUGUCAUAUUCACAAGAGUUUCCUUUCGAAGCUGACAAUAACUCCUGUCCAGAAAGACUUUCAGGCCAAAAGGUAAAAGCUGGUUUGUCUCCGAGAAGACAAACCAUCCACACUGAUAUGUUUUUCAAUAUAUGCCUACCCUCUUGCUGAUAUCUUUUGUAUAUAUGUUCCUUUAGACAUGUUUAUUUACAGUACAAAGAAGUCUGAAAAUACUAGCAGCAUUCACAACAUAUGAUUCUGACUUCCAAACAACACUUUAAACAUAAAUACUGUGUUCAAUAGCUCUAUAAACUAGUUUCAUUUGUUGUUAACCUCCCUGUAUUUUACAUGUGUAUAUAUUAUGAUUCAUAGUUCUACAACAAGUGCAAGUGGUGACCAAAAACAGUUUCUUUCAAAAAAGCAAAAUGAAAACAUGAUGCUAGCUGUCCUUGUUUUCAGGGUGUGAUGAUAUGAAUGAAUUCCAUAGACAUAAGAAAUCUACAUACAAAAUAUAAGUUUUAAAAAAUAAACAUGAAUACGUGAGACCAAAUUUGGACUAUUGCACAUUCCUUUCAAACUGCACUUUAUCCAUUUUCUUUUGUUUUAAUUACUUGGUAAUCCAGUCAUUGUCAGGGACAUAGGUAUUGGCUCAAAUCUGCCAAAACCUGUGGAUACAAAAUCACAUAUUUGGAUUCUACUGCAUAGUGUUAAGAAUGGGGCGAGAUUCAGGACCUUGUCCAUUCCAUUACUUUGUAUCUGUUCAAUUGCACGCUAACCCUUUAACAUAAUGAACAAUUUGUACUCUGUAAUUUAUUCAAUAUAAUUUUUGUUUUAAAAAUAUUUUUCCUAUGGCACAUGUAAACAUAUAUAAAUUUGUCUAAACAAUAUAUUUUGAGCGAUAAUUUAAAUUAUAUCUCCAUUAUAUUAAAUAAAUAUGUGUAAUUUUUGUCUAUAAACAUACCAAACAAAAACAUUUUCUA